rnacentral:rRNA from 1 species
AAGGAAUAUUGGUCAAUGGAGGAAACUCUGAACCAGCCAUCCCGCGUGCAGGACGAAGGCCCUCUGGGUUGUAAACUGCUUUUACCAGGAAAGAAACGAGUGGGCUUGCCCGCUCCUGACGGUACCUGGGGAAUAAGCACCGGCUAACUCCGUGCCAGCAGCCGCGGUAAUACGGAGGGUGCAAGCGUUAUCCGGAAUCACUGGGUUUAAAGGGUGCGUAGGCGGCUUGAUAAGUCAGGGGUGAAAGCUUCCCGCUCAACGGGAGAGCUGCCCUUGAUACUGUCAGGCUCGAAUUGGGUUGAGGCCGGCGGAAUGUGGCAUGUAGCGGUGAAAUGCUUAGAUAUGCCAUAGAACACCGAUUGCGUAGGCAGCCGGCCAAGCCUUGAUUGACGCUGAGGCACGAAAGCGUGGGGAGCGAAC